GACGAACGCUGGCGGCGUGCUUAACACAUGCAAGUCGAACGGAAAGGCCCUGCUUUUGUGGGGUGCUCGAGUGGCGAACGGGUGAGUAACACGUGAGUAACCUGCCCUUGACUUUGGGAUAACUUCAGGAAACUGGGGCUAAUACCGGAUAGGAGCUCCUGCUGCAUGGUGGGGGUUGGAAAGUUUCGGCGGUUGGGGAUGGACUCGCGGCUUAUCAGCUUGUUGGUGGGGUAGUGGCUUACCAAGGCUUUGGCGGGUAGCCGGCCUGAGAGGGUGACCGGCCAAAUGGGGAGUGAGAUACGGCCCAGACCCCUACGGGGGGCAGGAGGGGGGAAUUUUGCAAAAUGGGGGGAAGCCGGAUGCAGCAACGCCGGGUGGGGGAGGACGGCCUUCGGGUUGUAAACCGCUUUCCCCUGUGACGAAGCGUGGGUGACGGUAAUGGGAAAAGAAGCACCGGCUAACUACGU
rnacentral:rRNA from 1 species